AAAGUCACUUUCCCUUCGGGGCAUUGGAGACAGGUGGUGCAUGGUUGUCGUCAGCUCGUGUCGUGAGAUGUUGGGUUAAGUCCCGCAACGAGCGCAACCCCUAUUUCCAGUAGCCAGCAAGAAAGAUGGGAACUCUGGAGAGACUGCCCGGGAUAACUGGGAGGAAGGCGGGGAUGACGUCAAAUCAUCAUGCCCCUUAUGAUCAGGGCUACACACGUGCUACAAUGGCAUAAACAAAGGGAAGCGAAGUGGUGACACGAAGCAAAUCCGAAAAACAACGUCUCAGUUCGGAUUGUAGUCUGCAACUCGACUACAUGAAGCUGGAAUCGCUAGUAAUCGCGAAUCAGAAUGUCGCGGUGAAUACGUUCCCGGGUCUUGUACACACCGCCCGUCACACCAUGGGAGUCGGAAAUGCCCGAAGUCAGUGACCCAACCGAGAGGAGGGAGCUGCCGAAGGUGGAGCCGGUAACUGGGGUGAAGUCGUAACAAGGUAGCCGUAUCGGAAGGUGCG
rnacentral:rRNA from 1 species